CACGUAGGGCGCGAGCGUUGUCCGGAAUUAUUGGGCGUAAAGAGCUCGUAGGCGGCCUGUUGCGUCCGCUGUGAAAGCCCGGGGCUUAACCCCGGGUCGGCAGUGGAUACGGGCAGGCUAGAGGUAGGUAGGGGAGAAUGGAAUUCCCGGUGUAGCGGUGAAAUGCGUAGAUAUCUGGAGGAACACCGGUGGCGAAGGCGGCAUCCUGGACCAACACUGACGCUGAGGAGCGAAAGCCAGGGGAGCAAACGGG
rnacentral:rRNA from 1 species